UACGUAGGGUGCGAGCGUUGUCCGGAAUUACUGGGCGUAAAGAGCUCGUAGGCGGUGUGUCGCGUCGGCCGUGAAAACCUGCAGCUUAACUGUGGGCUUGCGGUCGAUACGGGCAUCACUGGAGUUCGGCAGGGGAGACUGGAAUUCCUGGUGUAGCGGUGAAAUGCGCAGAUAUCGUAAGGAAGACCAGUGGCGAAGGCGGGUCUCUGGACAGUCCUGACGCUGAGGCACGAAGGUCAGGGGAGGCAAACGGG
rnacentral:rRNA from 1 species